rnacentral:lncRNA from 1 species
CCUGAAGAAAUGAAACAAAUGGAACAAAAUGAUUAGAGACUUCCAAGAAUAUGUAGAGCCAGGAGAAGACUUCCCGGCUUCUCCCCAGAGAAGAAAUACUGCGUCACAAGAAGACAAAGAUGACAGUGUAGUUUUACCUCUGGGUGCGGAUACACUUACACAUAACUUGGGCAUUCCAGUACUAGUAGUUUGCACAAAGUGUGAUGCCAUUAGUGUAUUGGAGAAAGAACAUGACUACAGAGAUGAACAUUUUGAUUUUAUUCAGUCACAUAUCCGGAAGUUUUGUUUACAGUAUGGUGCAGCACUUAUUUACACUUCAGUAAAAGAAAACAAAAAUAUAGACUUAGUAUAUAAAUACAUCGUUCAGAAACUAUAUGGAUUUCCCUAUAAGAUUCCUGCUGUUGUUGUGGAAAAGGAUGCAGUAUUUAUUCCAGCAGGGUGGGAUAAUGAUAAGAAAAUAGGAAUAUUACAUGAAAAUUUUCAAACAUUAAAAGCAGAAGAUAAUUUUGAAGACAUCAUAACUAAACCACCUGUUCGAAAGUUUGUACAUGAGAAGGAAAUUAUGGCAGAAGAUGAUCAGGAUUCUUUUUUUUUUUUUUUUUCAGUCCCUUUUAGCAAAGCAACCACCAACUGCAGCUGGAAGGCCUGUGGAUGCCUCACCAAGAGUCCCAGGAGGCUCCCCACGAACACCAAAUAGAUCUGUAUCAUCUAAUGUUGCCAGCGUGUCACCCAUUCCUGCUGGGUCAAAAAAAAUUGAUCCAAACAUGAAAGCUGGAGCUACAAGUGAAGGCGUUCUGGCAAAUUUCUUCAACAGUUUGUUGAGUAAAAAGACUGGCUCUCCAGGAGGCCCUGGUGUGAGUGGUGGUAGCCCUGCAGGUGGGGCUGGAGGUGGAAGCAGUGGUUUACCACCAUCCACCAAAAAGUCAGGCCAGAAGCCUGUCUUAGAUGUUCAUGCAGAACUAGACAGAAUUACACGAAAACCAGUUACAGUUUCUCCCACAACACCUACAUCUCCUACGGAAGGAGAAGCUUCUUGAAGAUACCAAAUAAAGCCAUUUAUUCUGUUUUCUGGGAUAAUGUAAACAUGCCUCUGCCUUUUCCUUCAAAAGUGGAAUUAGAAAGCUGGAGUGCUUCUUCAGAUGGACUAAAUUUAUGUCGUGUGUGUGUGUGUGUGUGUGUGUGGUUACCCAUUUUUUAGAAGGAGCCGUACAGAAGAAAAAUUAUUCUACAUUAUGUAGGAUUGCUGUUUGCAUUGCCAUUUUGCAUAAGAAAGUAAUUUUUGAUUUUGAAAAUCUCAAAACUUUUAGAUCUGAAAUACAGCCAUGUGAUCGAUCAUAUUCUAAAGGCUAUUUAAAACAUGUAAAAGGAUUUGGGGAACGGCAGAAAACAUGCAGUUUGGGCAUUUGACUGACUUGGAAGUCUAAGCUUAUUUUAGUUAUAACUAUUAAAAUCAUUUUUAAAAAUUUGUUAGUUUUGCUGACAGAGAAAAAUCGUCAGUUGUCAGAUUUUGCACACCACAAUAAAUGUACCACCACACACGGAAUAUGCUAAGAAAACUAUCAGAUAGCGUUUGAUACACUAGUCAUUGUCUCAAUCACUGAUCCUGUAAGUUGUCAUCAAAAUAUGAUUUAGAAAUAUUGGCCAAGGUGUUGCUUUAACUGAGGAGAAAAGAAAGCACACUGCCUAAAUGUGUAAAAGAAAAAUGCAGAGGUUAUUAAAAUGUAAAGAAGUAACAAUCUUUGGAUUUGUCUAUACAUAUAUAUAUAUAUAUAUGGCUUUGCCUUAAUAUACCCCCUUUUUUGUUUGUGACUUUCAACUGUAAUCAGUUAAUAAAGUAUUUAUUCUCUGCAUUCAGGUUCAAAU